AAAUCGGUUGAAAUAAGAUUUGUCGUGAGGAGUCAGAUGAAACCGUAGUAGCAGUACAUCGACAGUACUGUGAAGGGU
rfam:Dethiobacter alkaliphilus AHT 1 ctg9, whole genome shotgun sequence.